rnacentral:rRNA from 1 species
UACGGAGGGUGCAAGCGUUAUCCGGAUUCACUGGGUUUAAAGGGUGCGUAGGUGGGUUGGUAAGUCAGUGGUGAAAUCCCCGAGCUUAACUUGGGAACUGCCAUUGAUACUAUCAGUCUUGAAUACCGUGGAGGUCGGUGGAAUAUGUCAUGUAGCGGUGAAAUGCUUAGAUAUGACAUAGAACACCAAUUGCGAAGGCAGCUGGCUACACGAAUAUUGACACUGAGGCACGAAAGCGUGGGGAUCAAACAGG